rnacentral:rRNA from 1 species
AUGGUCGAGAAGAACAAUGGAUUGUUGAUGGAGCCAAUCAACAAGGACGAUAAGGACGGUCACAACAGUGAGAAUAAGAAGGCGGAGCUCAUCGCCGUCGGCCGCCAGCUCUGCAGGGAGAAGAAGAACGACGAUGCGUUGAUUAUAAAGAAGUUAACAAUGCCACCUGGUGUGCAAAGGGUCCUCAAGGUGAGGCAUGUGGUGCCCUUUCUGAAUGUCGUUUUCUUCUUCCUUGCAUCUCAAAUGCAAGCAACCAUGCUUCUACCGAGGCUUAGAAGAAACAAAGAUGCUGUUGUCAAGAAUUUCACCCCACCCAUUGCAUUGGAUAUCACCUCUGGCUGCAGCAAUAGUGUGUUAAUCUAG